UACAGAGGUCCCAAGCGUUGUUCGGAUUCAUUGGGCGUAAAGGGUGUGUAGGUGGCGCCGUAAGUCGGGUGUGAAAUCUCGGGGCUUAACUCCGAAACUGCAUUCGAUACUGCGGUGCUUGAGGACUGGAGAGGAGACUGGAAUUCAUGGUGUAGCAGUGAAAUGCGUAGAGAUCAUGAGGAACACCCGUGGCGAAGGCGGCUCUCUGGGACGGUACUGACGCUGAGACGCGAAAGCGUGGGGAGCGAACAGG
rnacentral:rRNA from 1 species